CUCAGUUUUACUCCUACAAGCAAGAUGGGGAAGCAGUUAAUGGCUAAAUGUAGGACCCGGCAAGAGGAAAAUGAGGAGAUAGGCAAGGAAGCUUCUGAGGGAAAGAUGCAGGAAUUAUCCAUGAAACUUGCUUCGCAAAAAUCCCUAAAUGCAGAACUGAGAAGUCAAUUUGAAGGUCGGGGAUAUAUCAAUUGAAAUUUUAGAUUUAUCUCGUAUUAGUAGAAUGUAUAUGCUAAAUGGUACUUCUAAUGCCCUGGCGCAAUAUUAUUUGGCAUUUUAUAUUUUUAACUA